rnacentral:rRNA from 1 species
AUGAACGCUAGCGGCAGGCUUAAUACAUGCAAGUCGAGGGGCAAGCAUGGGUAGCAAUACCUGAUGGCGACCGGCAAACGGGUGCGGAACACGUACACAACCUUCCUGUAACUGGGGAAUAACCCGGAGAAAUUCGGACUAAUACCCCAUAGGAUAAUGGAGUGGCAUCACUUUAUUAUUAAAGAUUUAUUGGUUACAGAUGGGUGUGCGUAUGAUUAGCUAGUUGGUGCAGGUAACGGCUCACCAAGGCGACGAUCAUUAACUGGUGUGAGAGCACGACCAGUCACACGGGCACUGAGACACGGGCCCCGACUCCUACGGGAGGCAGCAGUAAGGAAUAUUGGUCAAUGGACGCAAGUCUGAACCAGCCAUGCCGCGUGAAGGAUGAAGGUCCUCUGGAUUGUAAACUUCUUUUAUAGGGGAAGAAUGCAUUUUUUUCUAAAGUGUUUGACGGUACCCUAGGAAUAAGCACCGGCUAACUCCGUGCCAGCAAGCCGCGGUAAUACGGAGGGUGCAAGCGUUAUCCGGAUUCACUGGGUUUAAAGGGUGCGUAGGCGGGGUAUGUAAGUCAGUGGUGAAAUCCUCGAGCUUAACUCGAGAACUGCCAUUGAUACUAUGUAUCUUGAAUGUCAUGGAGGUGAGGCGGAAUAUGUCAUGUAGCGUGAAAUGCUUAGAUAUGACAUAGAACACCGAUGCGAAGGCAGCUCACUACACGAAUAUUGACGCUGAGGCACGAAAGCGUGGGGAUCAAACAGGAUUAGAUACCCUGGUAGUCCACGCCCUAAACGAUGGAUACUCGACAUCAGCGAUACACAGUUGGUGUCUGAGGCGAAAGCAUUAAGUAUCCCACCUGGGAAGACGACCGCAAGGUUGAAACUCAAAGGAAUGACGGGGGUCCGCACAAGCGGGGGAGCAUGUGGUUUAAUUCGAUGAUACGCGAGGAACCUUACCUGGGCUAGAAUGCUGGAGGAUCGAGGGUGAAAGCUCUCUUUGUAGCAAUACACCGCCAGUAAGGUGCUGCAUGGCUGUCGUCAGCUCGUGCCGUGAGGUGUUGGGUUUAAGUCCCGCAACGAGCGCAACCCCUAUCAUUAGUUGCCAUCAGGUUAAGCUGGGAACUCUAGUGAAACUGCCCGUCGUAAGACGUGAGGAAGGAGGGGAUGAUGUCAAGUCAUCAUGGCCUUUAUGCCCAGGGCUACACACGUGCUACAAUGGGGCGUACAAAGGGCAGCGACACGGCGACGUGAAGCAAAUCCCAAAAAACGUCUCUCAGUUCAGAUUGUAGUCUGCAACUCGACUACAUGAAGCUGGAAUCGCUAGUAAUCGUAUAUCAGGCAAUGAUACGGUGAAUACGUUCCCGGACCUUGUUACACACCGCCCGUCAAGCCAUGGAAGCCGGGUGUACCUAAAGUCGGUAACCGCAAGGAGCUGCCUAGGGUAAAACUGGUAACUGGGGCU